rnacentral:rRNA from 1 species
UACGUAGGGUGCAAGCGUUAUCCGGAUUUAUUGGGUUUAAAGGGUGCGUAGGUGGUUAAUUAAGUCAGCGGUGAAAGUUUGUGGCUCAACCAUAAAAUUGCCGUUGAAACUGGUUGACUUGAGUAUAUUUGAGGUAGGCGGAAUGCGUGGUGUAGCGGUGAAAUGCAUAGAUAUCACGCAGAACUCCGAUUGCGAAGGCAGCUUACUAAACUAUAACUGACACUGAAGCACGAAAGCGUGGGGAUCAAACA